UUAGAGGUCAUUUUAAGUGUUUUGAAAGACUUUAAAAAAUGUACAGUCGUGAUAAUAGAUUAAAAAACUACAGCUUCACGCCUCAUAGAUUAACUGUGUGGUUUCCUUUACUCAUAGAACUACCUGUUAGAUCUGUGGGAAAGAACUACAAGACAGAG
rnacentral:snoRNA from 1 species